GCCUUAUAUUGUGGGACAAAGGGAGUACCUCAGUUUCUUCCUUUCUUCUUUCGCAUUUCUUUGUCGGAAACCACGAUGUUGGUUAAAUAUAUGUUUUGACUCAAGAUCAAAGGCAAGUAAUCAUCCAUGAAGAAAUUGAAAACGAGAUGUGAUUAACACUUUAGACCAGCUUAUGUUCUUCAUGAUAGUAUGUUUACAAAAACGAGAAAGCUAACCACCUGUCGACUGGACAUUAGGGACAGGCACGAACGAGUCCCGCGUUGUCAGAUAGGAAAUGAGCGGCUCAUGAUCCACCUUAUCCCUUCCUCCUUUCUCUCCCCCGACGGCGUCCAAUCUCCUUCCUCCUGCGCCAGGUGGCCAAGGAGAGCUACCAGGCGCGAGACCAAGUGUAGCAGCAGCUCCUCGUGGCGGCCAAGCAGGCGGCGGCGCUAGCAGCGACGACACUAGCGCUGGGUACGUCGAGCGUCACCGACUUGGACUGUAGCCUCCUGUCGUCCCCGAUGGACCCCUUCUUCGACCCUAUCACCUCCUUCGACCGGGCUGCUGCGUCGGCCGGUCGGCGGCAAGCUCAGCCGCGCCAGCCCGCCCCCGCCGGCCAAGCAGCAGCUGCAGCAGCAGUGCGGCACCGACGCGAUUCUCGACAUGCUCGCCGCGAAGAUGCCGCUGCCGUCGAGGGACCGGCUGCUGCACUCUGUGCACAUGCUUCCGCUGCUGCUGCUGUAGUCUCUGUUGUAGUACAUGUAUGCUGAGAAUUAUGGAGCAGAGAUGAUGUCUUCACGCCUUGGUAGCCGAUACAAGGUCUCAACCACAUUUUGGCUGCUUAACCGAAGUUGCAGGGCUGAAUUUGGUGGCUUACAUGGGCAGCCCACGGCUCUACUCUGUUAGCUUCGGUUCAGUAACUUCAGUUUUGUAAGAACUUGCCAAGCCAUUUUUACAUGUAUUUUCUUCCCAAAGAAUAUCACAGAAUUGAAUGAAUGAUCUCCUUCAUGGUGUAUCUCAAUCUAUAAUUUUUUAUAGUAUGAUUAUUCUAUGGAAUGAAUGAUCAUCUCCUCCAUGUAGAAAUGCUACUCUGACUGACUCUUAACAUCCUUCUUGCAUGAUAAUUAAGGAUUGCUGCCACGUGUCACCGCUCCCCCGCGCUCAUGCGGCUAGACACUCCUU
rnacentral:rRNA from 1 species